UCAUCCUUCCAUUUCAUCCGUUGUAAGAAACCUAAGAAUACUGAAAAAUGUUACCUCUGCCAAUGCUAAAUGGAAACUUCAUCAUGAACAAGCUAUGGGUGAUCAAUUCCAUGCCUUGGGGUGCUAUUGAAUCUACACAAAACAUCUUGUAGAAUUGUGCUCUCUGGAGAAUGGGAACUACAACUCUUUUAUUUUUUGCUCUGUUGAGGGUUCUAGGCCCCUGAAUAUAAUUACAUUUCAGAUUACGGUCAGUAUGGAGAUAAUGGGAUGCUCGGAACCACAAGUAAUCGGAUUGUAAUUUCCUAUUAAUUUCAUAACUCCCAAAUAACUCUCCCAUUUUGCUGCGAGUCCUUUUUGUAGACUAUAAUAGAAUAGGCUAGAUAGUUUUUGCACAGUUUUUAUUGCCUCUAUGGCCUGUACACACUUGCAUGUGAAUAAUUUAAGCUUUACCAUUUCCAG